GACAGAGGAUGCAAGCGUUAUCCGGAAUGACUGGGCGUAAAGGGCGCGUAGGCGGAAUGCUUUGUCGGGCGUGAAAUUCCAGGGCUCAACCUUGGGGCUGCGUUCGAGACGGGUAUUCUAGAGUGGGGAAGAGGGUCGUGGAAUUCCCAGUGUAGAGGUGAAAUUCGUAGAUAUUGGGAAGAACACCGGUGGCGAAGGCGGCGACCUGGUCCUUUUACUGACGCUGAGGCGCGAAAGCGUGGGGAGCAAACAGG
rnacentral:rRNA from 1 species